GCCUAAGUAGUGCUGGCUGUGCUGGCGCUUAUUAUGAGUGUCAUCUCCUGUGAUACACACUCAUGCCACGGCAGAAGAGGCCAAUGAAAAACAGUUCUUCAGGGCUGUUUCUGCAAAAGACACUACACAGCAG